rnacentral:tRNA from 1 species
AGCAGGGUGGCGCAGCGGAAGCGCGCAGGGCUCAUAUGUUGAAACCCUGAGGUCACUAGAUCAAGACUAGUUCCUGCUA